UGAGUAAAGCCAGCCUGGAAGAGAAAAGAUCUAAGCCCAGCUAUGACUGUGUCCUGUAAACCCACAGCACGGGGCUGUGAUGACAUGGGUAUAUGGAAAUCCAUCUAUCUACAUGGAUAUAUAUGACAUGUAUGGAUAUAUGAAGAGUUUCUUAAACACAGAGAUGCCCAAUAAAUAUUUGCUGAUUUUGACAGUUUCACUUUAGCAUAAAAUAGUUUGUUUCAAGCACAAAAAUGUUUUCAUGUAUUUUUUAUUUCUCCUGUUAAACAGAUUGCAAAAACCCCCCAAAAGCUUGUCUCUUUUUAAUAUUAUAGUUCAUUUUCCCUUUAAAGAAAUAUUUCUCUUGCACAAUGAUUUGAAAUACAUUUUUCUACCAGAAAUCUAAAAAUAUUUCAAUAAGGGAAAAAAUCUAGGGUUGCAAUUUGAGGUCAUAAAAUAACACAUGCUAAAAAUUGGAGUAAAUGUAUCUUUUCUUGUCAAGAAGUAUUUAUAAAUCCCACUUAGAAGGACAUCAUUUCUCAGGAUAUUCUAAAGCCCUAAGUCAGCUGUUUAAUAGAGAAGAAUACUAAGAAAUAUGAUUCAGAUAAAAUAGUUUUAUGGCAUAUAAUUUUUUUCAUAUAUGAUUUCUUAAUGCUGUUAGAAUGUCCCUAUAAUUCAGACUCGUAAAUAUUAUGUCAAACACUUCUUUGGCUCUUGGAACACAGUAAAAUACAAUUCUCAUUAAUACUUAACUUACCAUAUUCUGCAUCACCCAGCCUGUGGCAAUUAAUGUAGCAUUUCUAUAUUUCUGUCAAUAAAAUUAAAUCUUACAUUUAAUAAAUGUAGAUAAGGACAUAAUUUUAUGUGAGAAAAUAAAAUCUGUACAAAGUCCAAAAGUGAUCUUGUUAAAGAAAAAAUAAAGUUCAAAGCACUACAAGCUUUAAGCCA
rnacentral:lncRNA from 10 species